rnacentral:misc_RNA from 1 species
UUCUUCUUCUUCUUCUUCUUCACCCUUGGCCGAACCAUAUCUUCUCCCUUCCACCAUUUUUGUUUCCUUCCAAGCUUGAUCUCACAACAAUUCCUUAGCAUUCAUCACUCAAAAUAGUCAAAUUAAGCUUCAAUUUGGUGAGAGCAUCUCAUUUAAGUAAGAAAUUUCAAAGAUUUAGGAGGGUUACCACAAAAUCAAUUGGGGAAAAAUUCAAGGGAGAAUUGAACUCAGCAUGCAUGAAUUCAUGUUAUCAUGUUAUAAUUAUGGCAUAAGUGUAAUUUGUGAUGAAAUUGUGAUGAGAAUUUUUGAAAUUUUUGAAGAAGGCAAUUCAGUUCAUGCUAAUAAGGGGCAAGGGAAGGAUAAUUAGGUUGAUUAGAGGUGAUUUUGAAGGGCUAAAUAAAGAUUAGAAGGUUGAUUAUUGGUAUGUGCACUCUUAAUACCUUAAUUUUCUCCUUAAGUUGUUACUUAGGGUUUAUAUGCCAAUUAGGGAUUUUGGCUAAAUUGAAUAUAAAUGUCUAAUUUUUGUAUAGAAAAAUGAUGCUUAGUGUGU